UAAGUACCACUUAAUCAGCCCCCCCUAGACUCCUAAUCUGAAUUAUCACAGUAUAGAGUACAUGCACUAAGGUCAUCCUCUCCUUUCCUUGUUUCCUUUCACCUACCAUGGUCAAGAGAAAGGUUUUUGAAUCAAUUAUGCUUAAUCCUUUAUGUUAGUUUUAAUGCAACCCCUAGGAGUGACUUGCCCCUUUUCUCUUCUCUCUUUUUAUUUUUAUUUUUAUUUUUAUUUUCAGCAGCACUUAUUCUUAUCCUUGCCUGAAAAAGUCACUAACCUUUUUACGCGAUUGUGUACAUGGGUGAUACACCCCCGGUUACUCAGUUAGUCACUUGUUCAAGUGGCUACUAGCUCUGUUCAUAGUCUAGACCAUCAAAACUUAUUUGCUUGAAAAAGUCACUGACCUUUUUACACGAUUGUGUACAUGGGUGAUACACCCCCGGUUACUCAGUCAGUCAUUUCUCCAAGUGGCUAUUAGGCU
rnacentral:lncRNA from 1 species